rnacentral:tRNA from 1 species
CUGGGGCGGCAGGAUUCGAACCUACGAAUAGCGGAGUCAAAGUCCGCUGCCUUACCACUUGGCGACGCCCCA